AACGAACGCUGGCGGCAUGCCUAACACAUGCAAGUCGAACGAGACCUUCGGGUCUAGUGGCGCACGGGUGCGUAACGCGUGGGAAUCUGCCCUUGGGUUCGGAAUAACAGUUAGAAAUGACUGCUAAUACCGAAUGAUGUCCUCGGACCAAAGAUUUAUCGCCCAGGGAUGAGCCCGCGUCGGAUUAGCUAGUUGGUGAGGUAAAGGCUCACCAAGGCGACGAUCCGUAGCUGGUCUGAGAGGAUGAUCAGCCACACUGGGACUGAGACACGGCCCAGACCCCUACGGGAGGCAGCAGUGGGGAAUAUUGGACAAUGGGCGAAAGCCUGAUCCAGCAAUGCCGCGUGAGUGAUGAAGGCCUUAGGGUUGUAAAGCUCUUUUACCCGGGAUGAUAAUGACAGUACCGGGAGAAUAAGCCCCGGCUAACUCCGUGCCAGCCGCCGCCGUAAAAC
rnacentral:rRNA from 1 species